AACGAACGCUGGCGGCAUGCCUAACACAUGCAAGUCGAACGGGUACCUUCGGGUGCUAGUGGCGCACGGGUGCGUAACGCGGGGGAAUCUGCCCUUGGGUUCGGAAUAACUCAGCGAAAGCUGUGCUAAUACCGGAUGAUGUCGAAAGACCAAAGAUUUAUCGCCCGAGGAUGAGCCCGCGUUGGAUUAGCUAGUUGGUGGGGUAAAGGCCUACCAAGGCGACGAUCCAUAGCUGGUCUGAGAGGAUGAUCAGCCACACUGGGACUGAGACACGGCCCAGACUCCUACGGGAGGCAGCAGUGGGGAAUAGUGGACCCGGGGCGGAGGCCUGAUCCAGCGAUGCCGCGUGAGUGAUGAAGGCCUUAGGGUUGUAAAGCUCUUUUACCCGGGAUGAUAAUGACUGUCCCGGGAGAAUACGCUCCGGCUCUCUCCG
rnacentral:rRNA from 1 species